rnacentral:lncRNA from 1 species
AAAGCAGAUAAAGCAGUAGCAUAAAUAGUUGAAUGGUUGUAUUAAAUAUUAACGAUAUUAAGCACAUUAUCAAGAAAAAGUCAGAGUGAAUAUCCUUAUUUAAUACCAGCUCCUGUGAAAUUUAUAUGCUCAUACAACUUCUGCAUAAAAGAGGCUCUAAAAAAGAAGCAACUUAAAGUUGUCACAAACCCGGGUCAGCUUCUCAGCUAGCAGUAUUAGAAGAGAAGUGCCAGAGAAACCUACUUAUGGAACUAGGAUGGUAUAACAACGUGCAAUUUGGUCCAAAGGACAAUUUUGGAUCUUUUUCCAGUUGUCUUCUAUAACCUCAUUGCACAUAAAAGAAGGAAGAGAAUAUACAACAGGGGAGGAAAAAGGAAUCUGUGCAAGACCGAAACCUUUUACUGAAGUAAAAAAGAAGCAGAAAAUAUGAAUAAAGAAAAUUGAGAAUAUGUGGCUAGAAGCAAGUAGAUUCAAAACCCUUAAAAAUGUAAUAAAUUCUAAACCCCAGAGUACAAUCCCGAAUCUUGAACAACCAAAAUAGAAGACUUGAGAAUUUGGCUUCUCAAAACCGUAGCAACUACCAAUGCAAGAUCCCCACUGCUAUCUUCAAUGGUCUCCAUAUUGUAUGAAUUCUUGGGAA